CUUUAUUUUGACUAGUCAUAGUGAGAUAUUAAGCUCUCUCGCACAAGCAAGAUGUGACUGGAAUUCACAUGAUUGCUUGUUGGUCCAAAGCAACCCAUAUUGAGAGUAAGGUCAAGAGGUGGGUCUGAAACGGUCAUCAAAUAUAGGUAAACUAUUUCUUUUUCUUUCAGUGCUCCCCUUGGCCUGAAGCCCCAUCUGUCAACAGAACGAGCAACACUCCAUCUCCUGGUUAUCACAGCUCUCACACGUUCUACAGCUUCCCAGAGGAAUACUGCUCUCCAGACCAGCAGGGGGAGCUACUUUUGCCCAGCUGCUCUGAUCACCUGUUGUCGUCGUCCUCCAUGCAGGACACGCAGCAGUGGCCCCAUCGUAAUAGGCUCUUCUCUGGC